GAUGCGGUUGGAUCCACUAGACCGCCUCGGACUGACUCAUUUGGUUAUUUUUGCUUUUGAGUCCUUGAUAUUAAUUUUAUUUCAGCAUAGCCUUGCUCGGGCUAGCCGACUUGGCCUUUAUUAGAGUCGCUUUGGGUUUAGUUGUUUCUUGAAUUUAAUUAGAUCAAGUCAAGUUAAGGGGUCAGGUAGCCACCUAUAAAUAGAUGUGGUGAGCACCUAUUUCAGCAUGCAAAAAUUGAUUGAAAGGCUUUUGCCCUAACUCUCUUCCCUUCUCUCUUCUCUUCUUGCGACGCCUUCCUCCUCUCCCUAGGCCGCCGCCCCCUCCUUCAUCCGGCUGCACCACCUAUGUCCCGAGAGGCCAGCCACCUCCUCCCUCUUCUUCCUCCCCUCCUUGAUCCCUUCCACCUUCUACAAACAACUCCUUCCCGUUGGAUUUUCAGCCCGUCCUUCCCUGCGCAGUCAUCAGUCGGAGGCUGAUAUCUUAAGAUCCCGACGUCAUCUCUAGACCCACGACCUACCGCUGGAAAGCUAACACAGAGAUCUACAAC
rnacentral:lncRNA from 1 species